rnacentral:rRNA from 1 species
UACGUAGGGUGCGAGCGUUGUCCGGAAUUACUGGGCGUAAAGAGCUCGUAGGUGGUUUGUCGCGUUGUUCGUGAAAACUCACAGCUCAACUGUGGGCGUGCGGGCGAUACGGGCAGACUAGAGUACUGCAGGGGAGACUGGAAUUCCUGGUGUAGCGGUGAAAUGCGCAGAUAUCAGGAAGAACACCCGUGGCGAAGGCGGCUCUCUGGGACGGUACUGACGCUGAGACGCGAAAGCGUGGGGAGCGAACAGG